GGCGAACGCUGGCGGCGCGCUUAAUACAUGCAAGUCGAACGAGAAGCUCGGUGCUUGCACCGGGUGGACAGUGGCGAACGGGUCGAGUAACACGUGAGUAACCUGCCCCGGAGACCGGAAUAACCCGAGGAAACUCGGACUAAUACCGGAUGCCUUCACCGGACCGCAUGAUCUGGUGAAGAAAUGGUCCGCCGCUCCGGGAUGGACUCGCGGCCUAUCAGCUUGUUGGUGAGGUAACGGCUCACCAAGGCGACGACGGGUAGCUGGUCUGAGAGGACGAUCAGCCACACUGGGACUGAGACACGGCCCAGACUCCUACGGGAGGCAGCAGUAGGGAAUCUUGCGCAAUGGGGGAAACCCUGACGCAGCGACGCCGCGUGCGGGAUGAAGGCCCUAGGGUUGUAAACCGCUUUCAGCAGGGACGAAAUUGACGGUACCUGCAGAAGAAGGCCCGGCCAACUACGUG
rnacentral:rRNA from 1 species